GGAUGGAUCAUUCUUGAAUAAAUACCAACCUCCGAACUUUCGGUUUCUACCUUUACAAUCUUUAAAAAUCAAUUUGAAACUAAAAACUCUUAACGGUGGAUGACUCGACUCUUGUAACGAGGAAGGACGCAGCAAACCGCGAUAAGCAGUAUGACUUGCGAACACUCGUGAAUCACCAGAUUUCUGAACGCAUUUGUACUCCUAGCUUCGGCUUCGAGUAUACUUGGCUCGGUAUCAUUUAGAUUUGCUACAUUGUUUUUCAAUUUGUUCGCAUUUUGAAAAAACAGGUAGUGUCUUGAGCUUUCCUUCGCAAGAAGCGUCAGCUGUCUAUUGAUCUCUCCUGAUAUAUUCUGCUUCUAUAGUAAAAUUCGUUCUACAGUUCAAGCAUGUUUGUAUCCCUAAAGGAGUAAUAGAUUCUAAAUCCUUUUGAUCCGAGCUCAAGUAAGGCUACCCGCUGAAUUUAAGCAUAUAAUUAAGCGGAGGAAAAGAAACCAACAGGGAUUCCCCUAAUAGCGGCGAGCGAAGAGGGAUCAGCCCGAGAUGUGAAUCGAAGUAGCCUUGAGCUGCUUCGAGUUGUGCAUCAUGGUCUUUACCAGCAAGUUUGGAUGUCUAAGGUGCCUGGAAAGGCACGCCACAGAAGGUGAUAGCCCUGUCUUUGGCAUCUAAAACUUACGUACGGUACUGAUCGACUGAGUCACGCUCUUUGGGAGUAGAGCGCAAACAGGGUGGUAACCUCCAUCCAUGGCUAAAUACUGACAAGAGAUCGAUAGCAAACAAGUACCCUGAGGGAAAGUUGAAAAGCACUUCGAAAGGAGAGUUAAAAGACCUGAAACCGUUAAGGGGGAAGCGAGUGGCCGUGACCCAAGCUUCUUUGAGUGGCUCUAUUCGUCCAAGGUUUCUUCGGCUUCUUUGGUUAAACCCUUUGAACCGGAGUCUCCAUUAGGGUAGAAGUCAGUCGUUAGCUAUUUGACAUCAACUUUAGUCCCAUUGAAUUUCUUUGGGCGUAGGGUUGAGGAACACCAGCUUGCUGUAUGUUGUCAAAAGUGGCACGUCUACACGACCCGUCUUGAAACACGGACCAAGGAGUUAAACUGAUGUGCGAGUGUAAGGGUGGUAAACCUCUACGCGCAGUGAAAGCGACAGCUGUGAAUAUCAAUUGCAACAGCGGCCGACUAUGAAGUUCGAGCUUGAGCAUAUUUGUUUAGACCCGAAAGAUGGUGACCUAUACCUGAGUUGAGUGAAGCCAGGGGAAACCCUGGUGGAAGCUCGUAGCGAUACUGACGUGCAAAUCGUUCGUCAAACUUGGGCAUAGGGGCGAAAGACUAAUCGAACCAUCUAGUAGCUGGUUCCCUC
rnacentral:misc_RNA from 1 species